rnacentral:rRNA from 1 species
CCUACGGGAGGCAGCAGUCGAGAAUCAUUCACAAUGGGGGAAACCCUGAUGGUGCAACGCCGCGUGAGUGAAGAAGUAUUUCGGUAUGUAAAGCUCUAUCAGCAGGGAAGAAGAAAGACGGUACCUGACUAAGAAGCCCCGGCUAACUACGUGCCAGCAGCCGCGGUAAUACGUAGGGGGCAAGCGUUAUCCGGAUUUACUGGGUGUAAAGGGAGCGUAGACGGCAUAGCAAGUCUGAAGUGAAAGCCCGUGGCUCAACCGCGGAACUGCUUUGGAAACUGUUAAGCUGGAGUACUGGAGAGGCA